UACGUAGGGGGCGAGCGUUGUCCGAAGUUACUGGGCGUAAAGAGUACGUAGGUGGCUUGUUAAGAUACAUCUGAAAGGUGACAGCUCAACUGUCAAUGGUGGUGUAAGACUGGCAGGCUUGAGGCAAGCAGAAGAGUGUGGAACUCCGAGUGUAGCGGUGGAAUGCGUAGAGAUUCGGAAGAACACCCAUGGCGAAGGCAGUAGACUGGGCAUCUCCUGACGCUGAGGCGCGAAAGCGUGGGUAGCAAACAGG
rnacentral:rRNA from 1 species